rnacentral:rRNA from 1 species
UACGUAGGGUGCAAGCGUUAAUCGGAAUUACUGGGCGUAAAGCGUGCGCAGGCGGUUGUGCAAGACAGAUGUGAAAUCCCCGGGCUUAACCUGGGAACUGCAUUUGUGACUGCACAGCUGGAGUGCGGCAGAGGGGGAUGGAAUUCCGCGUGUAGCAGUGAAAUGCGUAGAUAUGCGGAGGAACACCGAUGGCGAAGGCAGCCAUCUGGACCGACACUGACGCUGAGGCGCGAAAGCGUGGGGAGCAAACAGG